rnacentral:rRNA from 1 species
GUGGGGAAUAUUGGGCAAUGGGCGCAAGCCUGACCCAGCAACGCCGCGUGAGGGAAGAAGGCUUUCGGGUUGUAAACCUCUGUCCUUGGUGACGAAACAAAUGACGGUAGCCAAGGAGGAAGCCCCGGCUAACUACGUGCCAGCAGCCGCGGUAAUACGUAGGGGGCGAGCGUUGUCCGGAAUUACUGGGCGUAAAGGGUGCGUAGGUGGCCUUUUAAGUUGGAUGUGAAAUACCCGGGCUUAACUUGGGGGGUGCAUCCAAAACUGGGAGGCUAGAGUGCAGGAGAGGAAAGCGGAAUUCCUAGUGUAGCGGUGAAAUGCGUAGAUAUUGGGAAGAACACCGGUGGCGAAGGCGACUUGCUGGCCAGCAACUGACGCUGAGGCGCGAAAGCCAGGGGAGCAAACGGGAUUAGAUACCCUGGUAGUCC